GAUCAUGGCUCAGGAUGAACGCUAGCUACAGGCUUAACACAUGCAAGUCGAGGGGCAUCAUGCAGGUUGCUUGCAACCUGUGAUGGCGACCGGCGCACGGGUGCGUAACGCGUAUCCAACCUUCCCCGCAGUAGGGUGCAGCCCGUUGAAAGACGGAUUAAUCCCCUAUGUUGUCCAUUGACGGCAUCCGAUUUGGACGAAAGAUUCAUCGCUGCGGGAUGGGGAUGCGUAGGAUUAGCUGGUCGGCGGGGUAACGGCCCACCGAGGCUACGAUCCUUAGGGGUUCUGAGAGGAAGGUCCCCCACACUGGAACUGAGACACGGUCCAGACUCCUACGGGAGGCAGCAGUGAGGAAUAUUGGUCAAUGGAGGCAACUCUGAACCAGCCAAAGUAGCGUGCAGGACGACGGCCCUACGGGUUGUAAACUGCUUUUAUGCGGGGAUAAAUGAGGGGACGCGUCCCCUUUUGCAGGUACCGCAUGAAUAAGGACCGGCUAAUUCCGUGCCAGCCGCCGC
rnacentral:rRNA from 1 species